CGGCCUGAGGUGAGUGGUUCUCCUGUGUUGCUCCAAGGGCUCAAUCCUCCUGCCAUCGCCGCCAUCCUGGCCUCGGGGGCGGCGGCCUCCAGGACCCGGUGAGGAGAACUCCCAAGGCUACUAAAUCCUCGCUGGUGGCGAUGGUUUCUUACGCGGGGGGACGUGCUGAGCGCCGACUUUGGAAGCCGGUGCCGAUCGGCCUCUGCUUUUCGCAGAGGAACGUGAUGGGCGGGAGUGAGGACGACCGGGCCCCUCCACUGGUAGGGGCGGGCGGGUGCGGGUCGCCGGUGGUCCAUGCCGACUCCGGACGUCCAGUGUCUAGCGGUAAUCUGUGAAAAUGGUUCGCUAUUCACUUGAUCCGGAGAACCCCACAAAGUCAUGCAAAUCAAGAGGUUCCAAUCUUCGUAUUCACUUUAAGAACACACGUGAAACUGCCCAGGCCAUCAAGGGUAUGCAUAUACGAAAAGCCACGAAGUAUCUGAAAGAUGUCACUUUACAGAAACAGUGCGUACCAUUCCGACAUUACAAUGGUGGAGUUGGCAGGUGUGCCCAGUCCAAGCAAUGGGGCUGGACACAAGGCCGGUGGCCCAAAAAGACUGCUGAAUUUUUGCUGCACAUGCUUAAAAAUGCGGAGAGUAAUGCUGAACUUAAGGGUUUAGAGGCAGAUUCUCUGGUCAUUGAGCGUAUCCAAGUGAACAAAGCACCCAAGAUGCGCCGCCGGAACUACAGAGCUCACGGUCGAAUUAACCCGUACAUGAGUUCUCCCUGCCACAUUGAGAUGAUCCUUACUGAAAAGGAACAGAUUGUUCCUAAACCAGAAGAGGAGGUUGCCCAGAAGAAGAAGAUAUCCCAGAACAAACUGAAGAAACAAAAACUUAUGGCACGGGAGUAAAUUCAGUGUACAAAAAA